ensembl:lncRNA
AAGAUGAGGUUGCUAAGAGACAGCCGCGGUACUCACAGACUGUUGAUACAGAGUGUGUUCAUGUUCAGAUAGUAAUGACAAUGGGCAAUCACGACAGAGUCACACAAACAGAAGCCGCUGAGAGGGGGUGAUCAUUUAUGUGAAACGGGUAUCCAUCGAUUUUGAGAGUAUCAUUAUUUCAAAGGCCAAUUACCCAUUUUGAUCGCGGCUGCCACAACAUCAGAGUCUGUAUCCAGAUCAAGGCUGUCCUUUGGACGGUGCAACUGGUUUGAGGGGGCCCCGCGGUGAAUGGAUUGAACGCAAUCAUGAGCGAACUGACGUGGACCAAAACCCAAAACUAACUGCCAUUUUGACCCCCUUGUAAUGAUUGAGGUGGAUCAGACACAAGAGUAUUUGUUAUAUUUGACAAAUAUUGGACAAUACCCCUCCCCAACAAGCAGAACAUGUGGUUGAGAGAACCAGGCCUCUGGUUACCGUGGUAACAAAGACACACAUCAAGAUAAGAUUGUUUUACAACUCAAAGGAAUGUUGAGUUUUAAAUCUAUAUUCACUUUGAAACAGACAAAUGUACCUUUGUACUAUACAGUCCAUCCCAAUUAUAUCGAUCUCCCUCUAGAUAUAACCACUUGAGAAAUGUAGGGACAUGUAUCCAAUUUUCCCCAUCUCAUUAUUUUUCCUCUUAUGGUGUUUUGCUUAUGUAUUGAUACAAACUCUUUUAAAUGAACAUUUGAGAAGUUUUCAGAUGCAGAAACUCCAGGGCAAGAUGCAGAGCUAAGAGUCCUCAAGAACACAAUCUAAGCUUGUAGGUUUUGGCCUAGUCUUUCCAUUUUAAGAUCCUUUUACUCAAACUGGUUCUUUUUCAUCAACCAACUUCAACAAAGAUCAACUUGAGCCUUCAGGUUGCAUCAGGACUCUCUUUCAGACAGACAAGACGUGCAAGUAUCAAACUUAGUGUUAUUAAUUACAUUAAGUAUCAUUUGUACCUUUAACAAAGGUGUGUUUGAACUAAGAAACUGACGUUUCCUUCAGGCUGUAGAUCUGCUGAAUAUCAAAUUUUACCAUAACUUCAUGCUUUAUUUCUUUUCUCUUUACUGCUUAAGCUUUAAAGGGGUCAUGAAAUGAGAAACCAAAUUUGCCUUGAUCUUUUGGAAUAUAAGAGGUCUUUGUACCAUUAAAACGUCCUGCAAGUUUCAUAGCUUAAGACGUCC